AAGGGCCGAAGGCUGCUGUGAACAGAUGUAAACAAGCGGGACUGAUGAAAGCUGGAGGCUCGAGCAUGAAAAUGCAGCAUCCGCCGCCUACUACCUUACCUCUUUACAGCUAAAUGAUGUUAAACUUGGUUCAUCUUGUAACCUAUACUCGAAGAGGGUUGAAAUGGCGCUCUCAAACUGAAAGCAAUUGAGUUGCAUUUAUAGUAAAAAGCUAUUUAAAACCAAGAACAAUCUUCUCCCGCGAUACAACCUGGUUCACAAGAAAGCUCCUAUUCUGAUCCAUGGCACAGUGAUUCAGUACAUUGGCGAAACCUGGGAAGAAUCCCUGCGUUCCCCCAUCUGCCCCUUAUGAGAUGCUACUGCUUUAUUCUGAUGUUGGUGACUAGAUUCGUCCUGUGAAGAAAAUUUUGUUGGCCGAAGGAGCACAGAAGAUUGAAGUGAAAGAGCAAACAUAUGAAGUAACAGUGCUUUUACAGGCGGCCUCUCUGUAAUGCAGCAAAGGGAAGGCCUACUGUGGAGGAGAUAAUAUUUGGACACAUUGACGUCGUCUAGGUAGCUGCUUGGCGGGAUAAAGGCUAUGUCGAUAUAAGUGGCCUGAAGUUGCUAGAGAAAGUGACAUUGCCCGAGUUCUUGCCUUGCUGAUAUUCAUGCCUGAGUGAUACUCUGGAGGAUAUGAAUCCCUGAGUUCGGAAAGUUCUCGAGAAGAUUAAAGUUAAGAGCAACAAGCUUCUACAACCUGAGGUUAAGCUGCAACAUUCUCAUGUUUUGCUUUCAGUUUCUGUAGGCCUUCAACUGUUCCUUUUGUUUAGCGUUACUAUGAUCUAAAUUAGAGUUAUAGUGUUUAUUGUAUGUAGGUUACCAUUUUUUAUUAAUUAUAUGAAGAGAAUAACCAACACUUACAUAUUUUAAAAACAUACUGCUUAUUGUAGUUAUUAUCGAAA